CCUACGGGUGACAGCAGUGGGGAAUAUUGGACAAUGGGGGCAACCCUGAUCCAGCGACGCCGCGUGGAGGAAGAAGGAUUUCGGGAUGUAAACUUCUUUUCUCAGGGAAGAAGAAAUGACGGUACCUGAGGAAGAAGCCCCGGCGAAAUACGUGCCAGCAGCCGCGGUAAUACGUAGGGUGCAAGCGUUAUCCGGAUUUACUGGGUGUAAAGGGCGUGUAGGCGGGAUGGCAAGUCAGAUGUGAAAGCCUGCGGCUCAACCGAGGGACUGCAUUUGAAACUGUUGGUCUUGAGUGCUGGAGAGGCAGGCGGAAUUCCUAGUGUAGCGGUGAAAUGCGUAGAUAUUAGGAGGAACACCAGUGGCGAAGGCGGACUGCUGGACAGUAACUGACGCUGAGGCGCGAAAGCGUGGGGAGCAAACAGGAUUAGAUACCCGAGUAGUC
rnacentral:rRNA from 1 species